rnacentral:rRNA from 1 species
GACGAACGCUGGCGGCGUGCUUAACACAUGCAAGUCGAACGAAGUGGCGAACGGGUGAGUAACGCGUAAUCAACCUGCCCUUCAGUGGGGGACAACAGUUGGAAACGACUGCUAAUACCGCAUACAGAAGGAGGGGUUUGCGUCUGAUUAGGUAGCUGGUGGGGUAACGGCCCACCAAGGCGAAGACCAGUAGCCGGUCUGGGAGGAUGAACGGCCCAAAUGGGACUGGGACACGGCCCAGACUCCCACGGGAGGCAGCAGUGGGGAAUCUUCCGCAAUGGACGAAAGGCUGACGGAGCAACGCCGCGUGAGUGAUGACGGCCUUCGGGUUGGAAAGCUCUGUUAAUCGGGACGCGGUACCGGAAUAGAAAGCCACGGCUAACUACGUGCCAGCCGCCGCGGUAAUAC